rnacentral:rRNA from 1 species
CAGUCGCCGCGGGAACACGAAGGGGGCUAGCGUUGUUCGGAAUUACUGGGCGUAAAGCGCACGUAGGCGGAUAUUUAAGUCAGGGGUGAAAUCCCGCAGCUCAACUGCGGAACUGCCUUUGAUACCGGGUAUCUUGAGUAUGGAAGAGGUUAGUGGAAUUGCGAGUGUAGAGGUGAAAUUCGUAGAUAUUCGCAGGAACACCAGUGGCGAAGGCGGCUAACUGGUCCAUAACUGACGCUGAGGUGCGAAAGCGUGGGGAGCAAACAGGAUUAGAUACCCCCGUAGUCCCUGUCUCUUAUAC